rnacentral:rRNA from 1 species
CAAUAGCGUAUAUUUAAGUUGUUGCAGUUAAAAAGCUCGUAGUCGGAUUUUGGCUGAGAACGAUCGGUCCGCCGUUAGGUGUGCACUGAUUGGUCUCAGCUUCCUGGUGAGGAGGUGUGCUUCACGGCCACUUAGUCACCGUGGUUACUUUGAAAAAAUUAGAGUGUUCAAAGCGGGCUUACGCUUGAAUAUAUUAGCAUGGAAUAACACCAUAGGACUCCUGUCCUAUUUCGUUGGUCUCGGGACGGGAGUAAUGAUUAAGAGGAACAGUUGGGGGCAUUCGUAUUUCAUUGUCAGAGGUGAAAUUCUUGGAUUUAUGAAAGACGAACUUCUGCGAAAGCAUUUGCCAAGGAUGUUUUCAUCGA